rnacentral:lncRNA from 1 species
CCUUAUUCUGUGAUGGCUGAAAAGCUAAUUGCACAGUUUCAACAGUUUCACGGCUCAUCCUAUACUCUUCUUGGGCACACACUGCUAUGAGGUCAUUCAAAUUCCACUUAUCCCGCUGAGCAUUGUAAGCAACCUUAAGCUGAUUAAACUUGCUAGGAAGGCUAUUCAAAACAUGAUAGACUAGGAAAGGCUCCGCAAUGGGAAUGUCAAGAGCCUUUAACUUAGAUGAUAUAUUUAUCAUUUUCAUAACAUGCUCUCUAACACCAUUUGUGCCAUCAUAUUUCAUGCUCAUAAAUUUAUCCAUCAGAUCCCCAGUUUCG